rnacentral:rRNA from 1 species
UAGGUUAACGAGGCGAACCGGGGGAACUGAAACAUCUAAGUACCCCGAGGAAAAGAAAUCAACCGAGAUUCCCCCAGUAGCGGCGAGCGAACGGGGAGCAGCCCAGAGUCUGAAUCAGCUUGUGUGUUAGUGGAAGCGUCUGGAAAGUCGCACGGUACAGGGUGACAGUCCCGUACACGAAAGCACACAGGUUGUGAACUCGAAGAGUAGGGCGGGACACGUGGUAUCCUGUCUGAAUAUGGGGGGACCAUCCUCCAAGGCUAAAUACUCCUGACUGACCGAUAGUGAACCAGUACCGUGAGGGAAAGGCGAAAAGAACCCCGGCGAGGGGAGUGAAACAGAACCUGAAACCGUGUACGUACAAGCAGUGGGAGCACCUUCGUGGUGUGACUGCGUACCUUUUGUAUAAUGGGUCAGCGACUUAUAUUCUGUAGCAAGGUUAACCGUAUAGGGGAGCCGAAGGGAAACCGAGUCUUAACUGGGCGUUAAGUUGCAGGGUAUAGACCCGAAACCCGGUGAUCUAGCCAUGGGCAGGUUGAAGGUUGGGUAACACUAACUGGAGGACCGAACCGACUAAUGUUGAAAAAUUAGCGGAUGACUUGUGGCUGGGGGUGAAAGGCCAAUCAAACCGGGAGAUAGCUGGUUCUCCCCGAAAGCUAUUUAGGUAGCGCCUCGUGAACUCAUCUUCGGGGGUAGAGCACUGUUUCGGCUAGGGGGCCAUCCCGGCUUACCAACCCGAUGCAAACUACGAAUACCGAAGAAUGUUAUCACGGGAGACACACGGCGGGUGCUAACGUCCGUCGUGAAGAGGGAAACAACCCAGACCGCCAGCUAAGGUCCCAAAGUCAUGGUUAAGUGGGAAACGAUGUGGGAAGGCACAGACAGCCAGGAUGUUGGCUUAGAAGCAGCCAUCAUUUAAAGAAAGCGUAAUAGCUCACUGGUCGAGUCGGCCUGCGCGGAAGAUGUAACGGGGCUAAACCAUG